rnacentral:snRNA from 1 species
AUACUUACCUGGCAGGGGAGAUACCAUGAUCACGAAGGUGGUUUUCCUAGGGCGAGGCUUAUCCAUUGCACUCCGGAUGUGCUGACUCCUGCGAUUUCCCCAAAUGUGGGAAACUCGACUGCAUAAUUUGUGGUAGUGGGGGGCUGCGUUCGCGCUUUCCCCUG